UGAGUUUUAAGUUAUAUAAACUAUGAGCCUUCCAAGUUCAAAAAAAAAUGUUAAGCUCAA
rnacentral:tRNA from 1 species